rnacentral:sRNA from 1 species
GUUGAAUCGGAACUUAAAAUAUCUAGAUAUCCAGUUAUCUAGAUCCCCAUCAGAAGAUGCUUGAAAUGAUAUGCGAUGCAAGUUUCCUUUGGGUUAUCUCCAAUCCCUCCAUGAUAAUAUUGUUACUGACGAGACUUUCAAGACAUACCAAUAUCUCCACAGUCCUGAUCUGUUCCUUUAGUCUAAGAGCCAUCAUAUUCAAAUGGCCAUAACUUAGGAUUGUAUGUUUCGAACAGCAAUUUGACGUAUAUCUGUCCACAGCAUUUGUCCGGCUCUGUCCUGUGUCUGCAUGUAUAUUUACUGUAGAUUUAAUUGAAAACCAACGUCAAUAUUCAUUUGUUUUGAAGGGGAAAAGAGAUCCAUCUUAUUCAUCAAACGUCAACAGACUUGUUGAAAUGCUUUAUUUUGGAGCCUAAACGCGUAUAUGUAUAUAUUAACGCAGAAGGUGCCAUAAAUCUGUGAAAUGAACACACACAUUCCUUAAAUCAAAGUGAUAUCUCGUUAAGUCUCGCCGACGUCGAACCACACUGCGGUAUGGCGGAUUCCAGAGGAAACGAAUAAAAUAGCAUGAAGUGGAAGCUUUUGAUGAAUGUAUUCCCUUUUGAAAUAAAGAAAGAAAUAUUU